AGUGAACGCUGGCGGUAGGCCUAACACAUGCAAGUCGAACGGCAGCACAGUAAGAGCUUGCUCUUACGGGUGGCGAGUGGCGGACGGGUGAGGAAUACAUCGGAAUCUACUUUUUCGUGGGGGAUAACGUAGGGAAACUUACGCUAAUACCGCAUACGACCUACGGGUGAAAGCAGGGGGUCUUCGGACCUUGCGCGAUUGAAUGAGCCGAUGUCGGAUUAGCUAGUUGGCGGGGUAAAGGCCCACCAAGGCGACGAUCCGUAGCUGGUCUGAGAGGAUGAUCAGCCACACUGGAACUGAGAUACGGUCCAGACUCCUACGGGAGGCAGCAGUGGGGAAUAUUGGACAAUGGGCGCAAGCCUGAUCCAGCCAUACCGCGUGGGUGAAGAAGGCCUUCGGGUUGUAAAGCCCUUUUGUUGGGAAAGAAAAGCAGCAGGUUAAUACCCCGCUGCUCUGACGGUACCCAAAGAAUAAGCACCGGCUAACUUCGUG
rnacentral:rRNA from 1 species